rnacentral:rRNA from 1 species
UACGAAGGGGGCUAGCGUUGUUCGGAUUUACUGGGCGUAAAGCGCACGUAGGCGGAUUGUUAAGUCAGGGGUGAAAUCCUGGAGCUCAACUCCAGAACUGCCUUUGAUACUGGUAAUCUAGAGUCCGGAAGAGGUGAGUGGAACUCCUAGUGUAGAGGUGGAAUUCGUAGAUAUUAGGAAGAACACCAGUGGCGAAGGCGGCUCACUGGUCCGGUACUGGCGCUGAGGUGCGAAAGCGUGGGGAGCAAACAGG